rnacentral:lncRNA from 1 species
GAUCUAAUCUCUAAGGAAGAAUUAUCUUUGAUUUGAUCGGAACUUUAGUUCAAUCAAUUCUUAAUUUGAUUAAAAUUUGAUUAAAAAUUUAUAAAGCUAAUUAGAUUGAGUUUUUAUCUAUUUAUUUGGGUUUGACCAGAUGUGAUUUGGUUAGGAGUCAAAUAAGGAACAUAGAGUCCAUAGAAGAUUGGACUCUUCUCCCAUGCGCCACC